GCUCCGGUAGCUUAGUUGGUUAUAGCGCCGUACUUAUAAUGUGGAGGUCGAGAGUUCGAGCCUCACUCGGAGCA
rnacentral:tRNA from 1 species